rnacentral:lncRNA from 1 species
CUCUAUUCUCUUUAACUCUACUCUUCCUCUCCCCAUUUUCCUUUCUUUCUACUUUUUUUUCCUCAAAGAAAAUGGAAGAGAGAGAGAAUUUUGUUAUGAGUAAUGAAUAGGAAAACAAGGAGAGGUGGGGAUAGCAAUAAAGUAAGGGUAUGUACUAGAAAAUUUCUUUCUCCCUUAUAAAUGUGGAAGCCGAGUAAGAGGCUCAAUCUUUGAUCUCCUCUUGCAAGAAAAUAGUAACCUAAUUAUUCUUCUUUUGCUUCAUUCUCCCUUUCACCUUUUUUCCUUUUUUUUUAAAAGAAAAAAUCCUCUAUUGAGUGUGUAAGAUUUUGUUGCACUAUUGUUUCCUAAAACACUCUUUUCUUGUAGUUGUGAGAAACUUUGUUACCUUCUCUUUUGGGGUAAAAAAAAACCUGGCCACUGACUACUACAGUAAUUUUUUUCAUGAGAAGCUGAAUUGAAGGGAGGAGAGACCUUUCAAAAUGAUGAUGGAAAAAAGGAAAAAAGUGAAUACGUGGUCCAAGAAUUAGGUUCAAUGAAUUCAAAAGCUCCAAAUUUCAGAUAGUUUCUGUUCAAUUAUGUGUGAAGACAUAACAAAGUUUGAUGGUAGCAGCCAACUAGUAUUUUGGGACCAUUUUAUUAAUUGUUGAGAGACAAAGGCUCACAU